UGCACCCUCUAUCUUCUCCAAACACAUAUCGCCUUCUUCCACUAACCUGCGAGUGAAAUGGUAUCGCCUUCUAAUGUGUUUUGUCCUUGAAUGAUAGACUGGGUUUUUCACCAACUGUAUGACGCUCUGACUAUCUGUAUAAAGGAUCUUCUUGCAUUGCUUCCUGCCUAAUUCUUCUAGAUAGUUUGUCAUCCAUAUCAUCUUCUUUCCAGCUUCAGCUAUUGCCACGUACUCAACUUUAAGAAUUCUUCUACAU